GACGAACGCUGGCGGCGUGCUUAACACAUGCAAGUCGAACGGAAAGGCCCUGCUUUUGUGGGGUGCUCGAGUGGCGAACGGGUGAGUAACACGUGAGUAACCUGCACUUGACUUUGGGAUAACUUCAGGAAACUGGGGCUAAUACCGGAUAGGAGCUCCUGCUGCAUGGUGGGGGAUGGAAAGUUUCGGCGGUUGGGGAUGGACUCGCGGCUUAUCAGCUUGUUGGUGGGGUAGUGGCUUACCAAGGCUUUGACGGGUAGCCGGCCUGAGAGGGUGACCGGCCACAUUGGUACUGAGAUACGGCCCAGACUCCUACGUGAGGCAGCAGUGGGGAAUAUUGCGCAAUGGGCGGAAGCCUGAUGCAGCAACGCCGCGUGCGGGAUGACGGCCUUCGAGUUGUAAACCGCUUUCGCCUGUGACGAGGCGUGAGUGACGGUAAUGGGUAAAGAAGCACCGGCUAACUACGUG
rnacentral:rRNA from 1 species